CUCAACAAAUCUUGGCUUGAAUCUACUCCUAACUACCUUGCUUUGUGUUUCUCUCUCUAGAAAAGCCCUAGUCUCUCUCUAAAACCAGAAAAAUAUGAAUAAAAAUGUAAUAGCAUGAAUGGAAAGAGAAGAGAAAACUAUUUAUAAGGGUUGACUGCGUGCCAGUUCGCUUAAGCGAAGAAGAGUUCGCUUAAGCGAACAUCCAGGAAAUCUCCAGUUGACCAUUGAGGUGCUGCCACGUGGUCCUUAUCUUCUGAAGUUGGAUAAACUUCGCUUAAGCGACUCACAAGCGAACAUGUGAGCGAACUUUCCUGGAGCUCACUGGAACUUGGUCGCUUAAGCGAACCAUAGGUCGCUUAAGCGAACUGACCUUUCUUCAUGAGCGAACUGGAAGCGUGCCUGUAAGCGAACAAAAC
rnacentral:lncRNA from 1 species